rnacentral:rRNA from 1 species
CGCCGCCGCGGGAAUACGAAGGGGGCUAGCGUUGCUCGGAAUGACUGGGCGUAAAGGGCGCGUAGGCGGAUUGCGCAGUCAGAUGUGAAAUUCCUGGGCUUAACCUGGGGGCUGCAUUUGAGACGCGUAGUCUAGAGUGUGAAAGAGGGUCGUGGAAUUCCCAGUGUAGAGGUGAAAUUCGUAGAUAUUGGGAAGAACACCGGUGGCGAAGGCGGCGACCUGGUUCAUAACUGACGCUGAGGCGCGAAAGCGUGGGGAGCAAACAGGAUUAGAUACCCCGGUAGUCCCUGUCUCUUAUACA